rnacentral:piRNA from 1 species
UCGACCCUGUUGAUCUCAUAAGC